CAGCCUAUUUACAUCGGUGCAGCAUCGGAAGUCAUUGUUUUUAAUAUUAAUAUUAUGUAGUUUCAUCGCACAAUAAUCCAUUGCUGUGUACUCUUGUACAGUAGGUGGAGCUAUGCACCUGAUAAGUCAUGAUUGCAAUCCGCCAAAAAACUAAAAGAAGAAGAAGGAAGUCAUUGUUCCUCACGCAGAGCUUUCAAAAUGAUAGAGAAGAUGACUUUUCAGCUUACAAGAACAUCGCUGGAUUACUGUAAAUGAUGUUUAUCAUGUUGCGAGUCUGUCAGCUGUCACACCUAAAUGGAGAAGAUCAUUAAACAUUUCAAGUUACAUCAACAACUUUAGGAUUGACCACCCAAAUCAAGACUAGGCCUACAUGGUAUAUCAGCUGGAAUGUACGGGUGGGCAAGGGGCGCAAGGAGAUCUGAUCGCGCAAGAGAGAGAGAGCUUCUGUUGUCAUUCAAUGCGAUUCCGCCGAUCGCCUUCACUAACUGCAAGUUAAUCGAUAAAGAAUUGUGAUUGGAUUGUAAUUUUGUCUUGAUUGUAAUUUUAAUUGGCUACCUUUGAUUAGGCUGUAAGCUGAAAUUAUAUUCAACCUGCCAAAGUGGCUGUCUUACCCGCCACAGCUGAAAUCUACCCACAUUUGGUGGGUUGGUGGGUGUUAAUGUCAAGCCCUGUAUAUAUAUAUAUAUAUAUAUAUUAUUGUUGUUUUAUUAACCACAAUAUCAUUGAUGAUGAUUGUUGUGAGGGGCACUUUUGG